GAUCUAGGGUUGGCGCUGGGGUUUGCAGAUUUCGUCAGCUUCAAGAAAAAUUUGGCAAUGGUGGAUGAAGCAAAUAAAAGAGUAAUCAAACAACCUCAUCACCCACCACCUGGCUUCUCCUUUUCGUCCCUCCUUUUUACCCUUCUUUUAAUUUUCUUUCAAGUUAUUUUUCUUUAAUUAACAUAGGUCAUUGCUAUAGUAGAUUUCUUUUAAGUGGGAU
rnacentral:lncRNA from 1 species